ensembl:snRNA Gm23096 U6 spliceosomal RNA
GUGCUUACUUCAGCAGCUCAUAUACUAACACUGGAACAAUACAGAGAGGAUUGACAUGGCCCCUGUGCGGGGAUGACAGGCAAAUUCAUGAUGUGUUCUGUAUUUUU